rnacentral:rRNA from 1 species
CACGUAGGGCGCGAGCGUUGUCCGGAAUUAUUGGGCGUAAAGAGCUCGUAGGCGGCCUGUUGCGUCCGCUGUGAAAGCCCGGGGCUUAACCCCGGGUCGGCAGUGGAUACGGGCAGGCUAGAGGUAGGUAGGGGAGAAUGGAAUUCCCGGUGUAGCGGUGAAAUGCGCAGAUAUCGGGAGGAACACCGGUGGCGAAGGCGGCACUCUGGGCCGAUACUGACACUGAGGAGCGAAAGCGUGGGGAGCGAACAGG